UGCAAAUUCGAAAUGAAAGCCCGGAAACCCCGGAACUAGAACUGGUAUGGAGUCUCACUCUGUCGCCCAGGCUGGAGUGUAGUAGCGCAAUCUUGGCUCACUGCAACCUCGGACUCCCAGGUUCAAGAGAUUCUCCUGCAUCAGCCUCCCAAGUAGCUGGGACUACAGAUCUCUUCAACUACCUGUGAAAACUGAUGUGAUGAAAAGGGGAAUUUGAAGGAGCCAUUCCAGAAGACAGGGCGAAAACUGAAGUGCAAUCAGGGCCAAGAAAAACAGAAAUAGCAGGACCUGGAGUUGCAUAGGUUGAAUAGUUGAAUAGGCUGCUCUCCUCAGCUGGCAGGAAACCUGGCAGCCUCCUGGUGCCCAAGGACUGAAAACCUUAGAAGCACCUGGAGUUGGCAGCCUUGGCAUGGUCAGGUUGGCACCUCUGGAGGUGCCCAGGCUUCCCUGGCAGCAUUGUGAGCAGUGGAUGGUGUUGAAGGGCAGCCAGAGGAGGAAUGGAACACAUGCUCCUUGCUAACCACACGGACAAGGCCACGUU
rnacentral:lncRNA from 10 species